AAGCCCGGAAGAAUAGCUGGGGGAAGGACAGAUGAGGAGAGCUGAGAUGAAGUAGCCCCUGGUCAAGCCAGCUCAGGAGCAGAGGAGACUGGAGUAGAAAAUGUCUCCAGCUGCUCUCAGAUAACAUGGACUCUGGCGGACGAAUUCAGUGAUGCCCAAUUUCAAGAAACCAAACAAGUUGCUGCAGAAUUAUUGCAGGAUUCCCCAAGAACAUGCAAAUGAGGAGAAAGUAGGGGAAAAUGAACUAGAUGAGCUGAAUACCCACGAAGUGCCAGGCAUAUUACAUACAUUUUCUCAUAUACUCUUACAGUAUCUCCAGCUUAAGUAAGAAUUAUCACCUCCAUUUUACAGAGGAGGAAACUGAGCUUUUUUCAGAAUUGCAAGGAGCCCUGGUGGCGCAGUGGUUAAGUGUUCGGCUGCUG